UGGGGAAUUUUGCGCAAUGGGGGAAACCCUGACGCAGCAACGCCGCGUGGAGGAUGAAGUCCCUUGGGACGUAAACUCCUUUCGACGGGAACGAUAAUGACGGUACCCGGAGAAGAAGCUGCGGCUAACUACGUGCCAGCAGCCGCGGUAAUACGUAGGCAGCAAGCGUUGUUCGGAAUUACUGGGCGUAAAGAGUGUGUAGGCGGUUCUCUAUGUUCGGUGUGAAAUCUCCCGGCUUAACUGGGAGGGUGCGCCGAAAACUGGAGGGCUUGAGUAUGGGAGAGGAAAGCGGAAUUCCUGGUGUAGCGGUGAAAUGCGUAGAUAUCAGGAGGAACACCUGCGGUGUAGACGGCUUUCUGGGCCAUCACUGACGCUGAGACACGAAAGCGUGGGUAGCAAACAGGAUUAGAUACCCUGGUAGUCCACGCCCUAAACGAUGCAUACUUGGUGUGAGCCGUUCAUUCGGUUCGUGCCGGAGCUAACGCGUUAAGUAUGCCGCCUGGGGAGUACGGUCGCAAGGCUG
rnacentral:rRNA from 1 species